rnacentral:rRNA from 1 species
AGAGUUUGAUCCUGGCUCAGAAUGAACGCUGGCGGCAUGGAUUAGGCAUGGAAGUCGAGCGGUAAGGCCCUUCGGGGUACACGAGCGGCGAAAGGGUGAGUAUCGCGUGAACCAUCUGCCCUGGAGUCUGGGAUAGCCCCGGGAAACCGGGAUUAAUACCGGAUGCGGAGUUGCGCUGCCUGGCGCAACCACCAAAGAUUUAUCGCUCCAGGAUGAGUUCGCGUCCCAUCAGCUUGUUGGCGGGGUAAUGGCCCACCAAGGCGACGACGGGUAGCUGGUCUGAGAGGAUGGUCAGCCACACUGGGACUGAGACACUGCCCAGACACCUACGGGUGGCAGC